rnacentral:rRNA from 1 species
GAAUCUGGGAGGACCAUCUCCUAAGGCUAAAUACUCUCUAGUGACCGAUAGUGAACCAGUACCGUGAGGGAAAGGUGAAAAGCACCCCGGAAGGGGAGUGAAAUAGAACCUGAAACCGUGUGCUUACAAGUAGUCAGAGCCCGUUAAUGGGUGAUGGCGUGCCUUUUGUAGAAUGAACCGGCGAGUUACGAUUUGAUGCAAGGUUAAGCAGUAAAUGUGGAGCCGUAGCGAAAGCGAGUCUGAAUAGGGCGUUUAGUAUUUGGUCGUAGACCCGAAACCAGGUGAUCUACCCUUGGUCAGGUUGAAGUUCAGGUAACACUGAAUGGAGGACCGAACCGACUUACGUUGAAAAGUGAGCGGAUGAACUGAGGGUAGCGGAGAAAUUCCAAUCGAACCUGGAGAUAGCUGGUUCUCUCCGAAAUAGCUUUAGGGCUAGCCUCAAGUGAUGAUUAUUGGAGGUAGAGCACUGUUUGGACGAGGGGCCCCUCUCGGGUUACCGAAUUCAGACAAACUCCGAAUGCCAAUUAAUUUAACUUGGGAGUCAGAACAUGGGUGAUAAGGUCCGUGUUCGAAAGGGAAACAGCCCAGACCACCAGCUAAGGUCCCAAAAUAUAUGUUAAGUGGAAAAGGAUGUGGCGUUGCCCAGACAACUAGGAUGUUGGCUUAGAAGCAGCCAUCAUUUAAAGAGUGCGUAAUAGCUCACUAGUCGAGUGACACUGCGCCGAAAAUGUACCGGGGCUAAACAUAUUACCGAAGCUGUGGAUUGUCCUUUGGACAAUGGUAGGAGAGCGUUCUAAGGGCGUUGAAGCAUGAUCGUAAGGACAUGUGGAGCGCUUAGAAGUGAGAAUGCCGGUGUGAGUAGCGAAAGACGGGUGAGAAUCCCGUCCACCGAUUGACUAAGGUUUCCAGAGGAAGGCUCGUCCGCUCUGGGUUAGUCGGGUCCUAAGCUGAGGCCGACAGGCGUAGGCGAUGGAUAACAGGUUGAUAUUCCUGUACCACCUAUAAUCGUUUUAAUCGAUGGGGGGACGCAGUAGGAUAGGCGAAGCGUGCGAUUGGAUUGCACGUCUAAGCAGUAAGGCUGAGUAUUAGGCAAAUCCGGUACUCGUUAAGGCUGAGCUGUGAUGGGGAGAAGACAUUGUGUCUUCGAGUCGUUGAUUUCACACUGCCGAGAAAAGCCUCUAGAUAGAAAAUAGGUGCCCGUACCGCAAACCGACACAGGUAGUCAAGAUGAGAAUUCUAAGGUGAGCGAGCGAACUCUCGUUAAGGAACUCGGCAAAAUGACCCCGUAACUUCGGGAGAAGGGGUGCUCUUUAGGGUUAACGCCCAGAAGAGCCGCAGUGAAUAGGCCCAAGCGACUGUUUAUCAAAAACACAGGUCUCUGCUAAACCGUAAGGUGAUGUAUAGGGGCUGACGCCUGCCCGGUGCUGGAAGGUUAAGAGGAGUGGUUAGCUUCUGCGAAGCUACGAAUCGAAGCCCCAGUAAACGGCGGCCGUAACUAUAACGGUCCUAAGGUAGCGAAAUUCCUUGUCGGGUAAGUUCCGACCCGCACGAAAGGCGUAACGAUUUGGGCACUGUCUCAACGAGAGACUCGGUGAAAUCAUAGUACCUGUGAAGAUGCAGGUUACCCGCGACAGGACGGAAAGACCCCGUGGAGCUUUACUGUAGCCUGAUAUUGAAAUUCGGCACAGCUUGUACAGGAUAGGUAGGAGCCUUUGAAACGUGAGCGCUAGCUUACGUGGAGGCGCUGGUGGGAUACUACCCUAGCUGUGUUGGCUUUCUAACCCGCACCACUUAUCGUGGUGGGAGACAGUGUCAGGCGGGCAGUUUGACUGGGGCGGUCGCCUCCUAAAAGGUAACGGAGGCGCUCAAAGGUUCCCUCAGAAUGGUUGGAAAUCAUUCAUAGAGUGUAAAGGCAUAAGGGAGCUUGACUGCGAGACCUACAAGUCGAGCAGGGUCGAAAGACGGACUUAGUGAUCCGGUGGUUCCGCAUGGAAGGGCCAUCGCUCAACGGAUAAAAGCUACCCCGGGGAUAACAGGCUUAUCUCCCCCAAGAGUUCACAUCGACGGGGAGGUUUGGCACCUCGAUGUCGGCUCAUCGCAUCCUGGGGCUGUAGUCGGUCCCAAGGGUUGGGCUGUUCGCCCAUUAAAGCGGUACGCGAGCUGGGUUCAGAACGUCGUGAGACAGUUCGGUCCCUAUCCGUCGUGGGCGUAGGAAAUUUGAGAGGAGCUGUCCUUAGUACGAGAGGACCGGGAUGGACAUACCUCUGGUGUACCAGUUGUCGUGCCAACGGCAUAGCUGGGUAGCUAUGUGUGGACGGGAUAAGUGCUGAAAGCAUCUAAGCAUGAAGCCCCCCUCAAGAUGAGAUUUCCCAACUUCGGUUAUAAGAUCCCUCAAAGAUGAUGAGGUUAAUAGGUUCGAGGUGGAAGCAUGGUGACAUGUGGAGCUGACGAAUACUAAUCGAUCGAAGACUUAAUCAA